rnacentral:rRNA from 1 species
GACGAACGCUGGCGGCGUGCCUAAUACAUGCAAGUAGAACGCUGAAGGAGGAGCUUGCUUCUCUGGAUGAGUUGCGAACGGGUGAGUAACGCGUAGGUAACCUGCCUGGUAGCGGGGGAUAACUAUUGGAAACGAUAGCUAAUACCGCAUAAUAGUAGAUGUUGCAUGACAUUUGCUUAAAAGGUGCAAUUGCAUCACUACCAGAUGGACCUGCGUUGUAUUAGCUAGUUGGUGAGGUAACGGCUCACCAAGGCGACGAUACAUAGCCGACCUGAGAGGGUGAUCGGCCAAACUGGGACUGAGACACGGCCCAGAAUCCUACGGGAGGCAGCAGUAGGGAAUCUUCGGCAAUGGACGGAAGUCUGACCGAGCAACGCCGCGUGAGUGAAGAAGGUUUUCGGAUCGUAAAGCUCUGUUGUAAGAGAAGAACGAGUGUGAGAGUGGAAAGUUCACACUGUGACGGUAUCUUACCAGAAAGGGACGGCUAACUACGUG